GGGAUGGUCUAGUGGUUAGGGUGUUUGACUCCAAGCCAAAAGUUCUGGGUUAAAAUCCCACUGACUACAUCCCA